rnacentral:rRNA from 1 species
CCUACGGGUGGCUGCAGUGGGGAAUAUUGGACAAUGGGCGAAAGCCUGAUCCAGCCAUGCCGCGUGUGUGAAGGAGGCCUUCGGGUUGUAAAGCACUUUCAGUGGGGAAGAAAGCCUUGGGGCUAAUACCCUCGAGGAAGGACAUCACCCACAGAAGAAGCACCGGCUAACUCCGUGCCAGCAGCCGCGGUAAUACGGAGGGUGCGAGCGUUAAUCGGAAUUACUGGGCGUAAAGCGCGCGUAGGCGGUCUGAUAAGCCGGUUGUGAAAGCCCCGGGCUCAACCUGGGAACGGCAUCCGGAACUGUCAGGCUAGAGUGCAGGAGAGGAAGGUAGAAUUCCCGGUGUAGCGGUGAAAUGCGUAGAGAUCGGGAGGAAUACCAGUGGCGAAGGCGGCCUUCUGGACUGACACUGACGCUGAGGUGCGAAAGCGUGGGUAGCAAACAGGAUUAGAUACCCGAGUAGUC